CAGAGAGUCAGCGUGUCUGAAUGAUGGGCCCAGUCUCCGUGGAUAAGCACCUCCUCGCCCUGCCUCCACUGCUUGCCCAGCCGCUCCAGAGACGGACGGAAAGAGCGGAUCUCACUGGCACUCGCCUGCAGAAAUCGUAUUUGCCUGUGUGAACUGCAUUUCUAAAGACUCAACUGAUGCAUUCAGAGAUGGUGCUGGCUAUAUUUGCCAAAGCUUUGCCGAUGUGGAUGACCAAACGAGACAGCCCUUUGAGAGGGAUGGAUGUAGCCAAUGUUGCUGGGGCCUUUUCGCAUAUUAUGCUGUGCAGAAGAGGCCAAGUUUUUGCCCAUGUGCAAACGUUUCCAGCAGAUUGAAGUUGAGUCUCUGGUAGCUUUUCACAACACCCCAAAAUAUAAAGGGUGGCUUGAAGAGUGUGGGCAGAUCAAUACUUCACAGCUGUAAACUGCCAGAUGAAAUCUUUCCUGCUACCAGAGGAAAAACUGUCUUUUGGCCAGCUGUCUCAGCGUCAGAAGCCUCUUCCUGGAAGCUAAUUCUUCACGAGAACAGUGAAGCCAUUUCAUAACCAGACAGUGGUGGAACUGGAAUCGCCACAGGAGGCUCCAGUGGAUGUGAAUUUUGCAGUGAAUCAUGUACAUCAUCUGAUCCUGUUGCAGGAGACGCAUGGCCUUGGGACCGUGUGACGACGAGUACGGGCAUCUACACGUGGACGAGUCCAGACUACGGGAAGCAGAGUGAAACCGUUUUAACGGGAAAUGAAGCUAUCACCUCCCAACUUUCGGCGUAUUAAAAAGGAGAACCUACGUGGAAGAAAAGGAAGAAGUGGGCCUGGGAGAUAUACGAGAGGAGAGGGAGGAAGGCCCGGGGACUCUGGGCCCAGGCCGGGACAGUCAGUCAUGCACCGAGCAGACCUCACCUGGAAAAGGGGCCGCCGCACUGAUCCAUCAAGGCAGUUGGCUUCGUGGCAGAGCCAGAGCUUGGGAAUCAGAGGACCUGCGAUCUAAUCCCGACUCCACCACUUGUCUGACCCUGGGCCAGUCACUUGUCUGGCCC